CCGUCCUGCCUGCCUGGCCAUGUGGCGCCCACUGGUCCUGCUGCUGCUGCUGCUCCCUCUCGUCCCCGUCCCCCGUGCCACCGCCGCUCCCAUCCCGGAUGCCAAUGCCAAAAGCCAGGACGGUCUGGAAAGCAUGCUUCAAGGUGCUCAAGCCAGAGGAGACGGAGGGCAGUGGGUGCUCCCAAAUCGAGUUCCUCACUCCGGAUGUCCUCCUGGGCUAUGAGGUGGCCGCCAGCAGUGGUGCCGCAGCCCAAAGCCCAGGCGGCUGGCCUGCGGCUCUGUAAGGGGACAUGGGGCCUCCCUCAGUUCAAACAGCUCACCCCCAAGACCCACUUCUUGUCCCUUCUCAGGCUCAGCAGCAGCUGUCGGGGCCGGGGUGGGCGUCAGAGCACUGGCAGGGGACAGUCCCCAGCUCCAUUUAGGAAUAAAGUUCUGUCUUACAGCCAA